GCUGUCCUGUGGCUCAGUUGGUAGAGCAUUGCACUAACAACGUAAAGGUUGCAGUGUUCAAAUCCCAGGGAAAGCA